AGUGAACGCUGGCGGUAGGCCUAACACAUGCAAGUCGAACGGCAGCACAGUAAGAGCUUGCUCUUACGGGUGGCGAGUGGCGGACGGGUGAGGAAUACAUCGGAAUCUACUUUUUCGUGGGGGAUAACGUAGGGAAACUUACGCUAAUACCGCAUACGACCUACGGGUGAAAGCAGGGGAUCUUCGGACCUUGCGCGAUUGAAUGAGCCGAUGUCGGAUUAGCUAGUUGGCGGGGUAAAGGCCCACCAAGGCGACGAUCCGUAGCUGGUCUGAGAGGAUGAUCGGCCACACUGGAACUGAGACACGGUCCAGACUCCUACGGGAGGCAGCAGUGGGGAAUAUUGGACAACGGGCGCAAGCCUGAUCCAGCCAUACCGCGUGGGUGAAGAAGGCCUUCGGGUUGUAAAGCCCUUUUGUUGGGAAAGAAAAGCAGCAGGUUAAUACCCCGCUGUUCUGACGGUACCCAAAGAAUAAGCACCGGCUAACUUCGUG
rnacentral:rRNA from 1 species